GUGUCAGCCGCCGCGGUAAUACGUAGGUGGCAAGCGUUGUCCGGAUUUAUUGGGCGUAAAGCGAGCGCAGGCGGUUUCUUAAGUCUGAUGUGAAAGCCCCCGGCUCAACCGGGGAGGGUCAUUGGAAACUGGGAGACUUGAGUGCAGAAGAGGAGAGUGGAAUUCCAUGUGUAGCGGUGAAAUGCGCAGAGAUAUGGAGGAACACCAGUGGCGAAGGCGACUUUCUGGUCUGUAACUGACGCUGGUGUGCGAAAGCGUGGGGAUCAAACAGGAUUAGAAACCCUCGUAGUCC
rnacentral:rRNA from 1 species